GCUUCGGAAAAUGGACAUUAAAAACG
rnacentral:piRNA from 1 species